GAUUCAGAUAUGAUCCCACACCUAAGCCUUGCCUCAAUCCUCCCUAGAAUCUGAUGCCCAAGGAGUUGGGUUUUCAUCUCCUUUUUCUCCUCAUUCACAUGCCCAAGAGUUGGGCCUUUUGUUCAUCCUUCAUCUUCCACAUCCCAUGCCUGGAGAAAAAGGGUUCUCUCUAUCAUUCUUCUUCCACUUUCUCUGUAGCAAAUUUGGAUCAAGGAAUUGAUCCAGAUAUGGAGCACUAGGAGCAUGCGGAUCUUGCUUGGAGAAGGAAGAUCCAGUUCAAGAGAAGCAUCUCAAAUUGGUCCCGAUGGAUAUCCGUAGAGAUCGGAUGCAUGUGCAGCUCAUCGAGGACCUUACUGGAUUACCACGAUCAUCAGAUUGCGCAUCCGAUUGAGUGAUCCUCAGCGAAUUAAUAAAAGCAGCAACAUGGUGACCUAGCUACACUCAGAAAAGAAGAGUUAGUAGCUAAAGAUGAAGGAAGAAGAUAAUAGAAAAAGGAAAGGGACUCAUCCGAAUCAUGGAGGUCACAGCCUCCCUCUACUGCCUCUUAACUCUAUGUAGAUCGACGUCAAGAAGCAUCCCCUCAAAUAUAUAAUAUGUUAGAGGAUCAUCAUAGAGAUGGUGAUUGAUCCAGAUAGGUUGGUGCACGGAUCACUUUUGAGCCAAG